ACUGACACUCGCAAUGUCCGAGUGGUACUGACGGGGCAGCCUCCCGCUGGCUCCACCUUCCAGGAAAGAGGUACAAUCCCCUUUCGAAUUCUGAAGUUGCACUGCAAGCAAUGGCUGGCUACAGUAAUGCUGAGACUAAAAACACAGACCCAUGUCGCAGGGGGUCACCGGUGGCCAAGGACAGCCAGAUGGCCAGGAGUGCUCUGGUCUCCCGAGUUCUGGAAAAUGGACCAACACCCUUAACAUUUCACCUCACUGCCUUCCAAAACAUGUCUUAUCUCUUGUGGAGAGAAUGUGACGAAAAAGGAUCCAGAACCAAGUUCAGAAGGCCUUCGGCCCUGGACCACUCCACCAUUUGGAGGUAAGGCCCCAAUGUCACCAGAAAAGAUUGAGAGGGAGUGACCAGUGACGUACUGGGUCAAGGGGGAUGCCAAGCAGGAUACGAUGGGCACAAUGAAGUGACCAUUGGACUUGACAACAUGGUAAGUUUACCAUAUAAUUGUCCAAAUGAUAAAUUUACUUUUUUGAGAGUGAAAGUGGGAGUUAUUGAGAAUUAACACUGGAACAACUGGUAUAAACAGGGAUGCCUGGGAAAAACCUAGACAUUGGUAAUGCUGAUGAGGGUGUAAAAAAAAAAUUACUUAAAACUGUGCUGUUCAGUACAGUAGCCAUUGGCUAUACUAGUAUGUAGCUAUUGGCAAUUAAAAUGUCCAGUAAGUGUGAAUAUACACCAGAUUUUAAAGACAUAGUAUAAAAAAGAAUGUAAAAUAUUAUAUAAAAAUAUCUUUAUGUAGAUUACAUGGUUAAAUGAUACUUGGCAUAUAUUGAGAUAAAAAAAUUCAUUAAUAAAAUGUGAAAAAAAAGAUGUGCUAAAAUAUUCUUAGUGAUAUCUGUUAGUGUACAUUGUUUCUUUUUAUCGUAACCACUUAAACUCCCUAUUCUCUUAAAACAUCAGACAAAAGCAAAAUAACUGUUUCUUUAAUGAUUCCCUUUUAUUAAAGAAUCCUGGUAUUUUCUCCCCAAUCCUGAACCUCAGUGCAUUUAAGUUUACAGACAAUUUUAAUUAUCCAGCAUCAAGUGAAGGGAAAGGAGAGGUACAGGACUAAUUUAUUUUGGGCUACAGAACAGAGGUCACUUCCACCUCUAGACCUGCCUGGCACCAGCCGCCUCAGUCCGCCCUCCUGUCAGUGAUGGAGGACCAGCCCCCGUCUCCAGGAAGGGCCCAGGCGCCCACAGACAGCGCACAAGGGCAGGAACGAGUUGACCGUGCUCUCUUACUGAGACUUGGCCAACCCCAGAAUGGUAUUCUCAAAUCGGAGACCCUCGACAGCACAGCAACUUGAUUGAUGGUAACACCUGACUUACUGAGUGUCUACUGUGCUCAUUUAGAUGGCUUUUAAGGAGCCUUCAAAUAUUGCACGCUCUGCGUCUCAGGGCUCCCAAUUCGUCCCAAACCCUGAACGAAGGCAUAUAUUGUGAUGACUACUGCCAAUUCUCAUCUGCUCAUCUUUUAACACAGUCCAGAAGUGUGGGUGCUGUUACAGACAAACCACUGGACUCAUGCUGAGUCUCAACCGUAUCUUUUUAAAGCCAGAACCCUUAUGCUUUAAAGAUAAAUUAAAUUUACAUAAAUUCAGCUACAUCUUGUCCAUUUAACAUGUCAAAUGCUGCUUUUCACCUUAAGGAGCUACCUACUGAGCAGACUUUCUUCUGUUGUCCAAGGUGCUAAUCUGGACACAGUCGGCUCCACAUCUUCCUGUCCCUGCCUUUUCCAGAUGAGAAAAAGCAUUUUCUGAAUGUUUGUGUGUGUGUGCGUGACUCCUUCCUACAUUUAUUCAAUAAGCAUUUACUGAGUACCUACUAGGUGUCACACACUGUCAGACAUUUGGGAAGAAAUAACAAAUCAGGCACAGCCCAACAGAAUGCCUGGCAUGUGGGCAUUUAAAAAGUGUUCACUGAAUGAAUAAAUAUGGUCCCUGGCUGUGGAGCUCAAAUUCUACAGGAGGACACAAUUACGUACACAGGUAAUUAUGCUCUAGACAGGUGCAUGACAGGUGCUGGAGAAAAAGCAUGUACAAAAUGCGGUGAAAGCAGAAAACCACCUGAUCUGCUUCCCCGGGGAAAAGAAGGAAGGCUUCCCAGAGGAGGUGGCCUGUGAAUUAUGACAAACACUUGAAGGCACGGAGUGCAGAAUUCAUUCUUGAGCAUCACCCUCAACCAAAUAAACCAAUUUCACGCUGAUUAUACCUAAAAGUAUGAUUAAAAGUCAAA